rnacentral:rRNA from 1 species
AUACGGAGGGAGCUAGCGUUGUUCGGAAUUACUGGGCGUUAAAGCGCGCGUAGGCGGUUUUUCAAGUCAGAGGUGAAAGCCCGGGGCUCAACCCCGGAAUUGCCUUUGAAACUGGAAGACUUGAAUCUUGGAGAGGUCAGUGGAAUUCCGAGUGUAGAGGUGAAAUUCGUAGAUAUUCGGAAGAACACCAGUGGCGAAGGCGACUGACUGGACAAGUAUUGACGCUGAGGUGCGAAAGCGUGGGGAGC